UACGUAGGUGGUAUUGUAUGUCGGACGUGAAAUCCCACGGCUCAACCGUGGAAUUGCAUUCGAAACUGCGAUACUAGAGUGCAGGAGGGGAGAGCGGAAUUCUUGGUGUAGCGGUGAAAUGCGUUGAUAUCAAGAAGAACACCGGUGGCGAAGGCGGCUCUCUGGAAUGUUACUGACACUGAGGUACGAAAGUUGGGGUAGCAAACAGGAUUAGAUACCCUGGUAGUCC
rnacentral:rRNA from 1 species